UUUGACCUUCAUCCAGUUCGGAGGACUAGAUCGUAGAUCAGUUGCGGGACAGCAUUGUUAUGUGUGUGUUGUUCUGUGAUUAUAUUUUCG